CCAAACCCAGACCUAGCGGUUCUCCCUCUGCCUUUAUCCCAUCACAGAGGGUGGUCCUGAUGGAUCCAAGCAGAAACCCAGAUGGCAUCUCGUGAGCUAACAGAUCCUGAGGAAAAACAUUUGUAUUUGAUGUGGGUUUUGAUCACACAGCAACCCAGCUGGGAACCAGAGAAGGCUCAGGGUGCAUGCAAGGAUGAUAUGCCAUCAAAGGAGGAGAAAGGAGGAAACACUGAAGAGGAAGACAGGGAUGUCAUGGAUUCACAUGAACCUCAGGAUGUUACAGCAGCGAGAGAAGAGAUCAACCUGAUGCUGGUAGAACAGAGCAGGAUGGUGGCCCUGAAGUGGCAGUUACAGAUCAUCUGA
rnacentral:lncRNA from 1 species